rnacentral:rRNA from 1 species
GGUUUUAUGAUAUAUAAUAUAAAAUCUGGCCUGCUCAAUGUUUAAUAAAUAGCCGCAGUAUUUUGACUGUGCGAAGGUAGCAUAAUAAUUAGGCUAUUCAUUGUAGUCUUGUAUGAAUGGUUGGACGUGAAGCAUACUUUCUUUUUUUUAAAUAUGAAAUUAAAUUAUUAGUUAGAAUGCUAAUAUGAUAUAAUUAGACGAGAAGACCCUAUUAAGUUUUUUAUUUAAUGUAUUAUGUAUAUUUUAUUGGGGUAAUAAUUAAUAAAUAUUAUAUUUUAUUGAUCCAUUAGUAAUGAUUAUUAGGACUAAUUACUAUAGGGAUAACAGCGUGAUUGUGCUGGAGAGUUCAUAUUGAUAGCAUAGUUUGCGACCUCGAUGUUGGAUUAGGAUAACCUAUGGGCGCAGGUGUUUAUUAAGGUAGACUGUUCGUCUAUUAAAUUCCUACA